UACAGAGGUCCCAAGCGUUGUUCGGAUUCACUGGGCGUAAAGGGUGCGUAGGCGGUUUGACAAGUCUGAUGUGAAAUCCCGCAGCUUAACUGCGGAACUGCAUUGGAAACUGUUUGACUAGAGGAAUGGAGGGGAGACUGGAAUACUUGGUGUAGCAGUGAAAUGCGUAGAGAUCAUGAGGAAGACCAGUGGCGAAGGCGGGUCUCUGGACAGUUCCUGACACUGAGACACGAAGGCCAGGGGAGCAAACGGG
rnacentral:rRNA from 1 species